rnacentral:lncRNA from 1 species
UAAGGCCACAGAGGCGGGGAAGGAGUUAACUGCUGUGCUGCUACUGUGCUUGGCUGCGGGUUUCCUAGCCCAGGGUUUUCUUGCAUAGAUUUAACUGAUGUGAUAAGACACACCUGUCAAACCUUUGAAAGGUGACUGGUGGCUUUGUGUACCUCUCUGGAAAGGCAGCAAUUUAGAGUGAUGAGCUCUGAGAAAAGGAGUUCUUUCAAGGUCUCCAACUGUGCAUGCAAAAGGAGUGAGGUUUUUGCAGACCUGGCUUGUGUCCUGGCUAUACAAGAUUUCAGGCUGCUCUGCAGCUGGUGAAGGAGUUGCUGUGAGACCUAAAGGAGCACACAGAAGAAUCCUUGUUUAGGAGGAGUCUGGGUUGAACGACAAACAGGCAUGCCCUGGGAAAUAUCGAGAGGUGACGGUGCUCCACAGACAUGGUGACAAGCUGAAACGUUUUGUUUCCACUUCUCAAAAUGAAGUGUCUUUUAACAGUCCCCAGAUGACUGUAAAAGUUACAGGAAGUUUCUAGAAGCUUUAUUUCUAUUCUGGAGUGGAAAAAAAAACCAACCACCAAAACUUUGAAUUAAUGGGAACGAACCUAUUUCACCCCAUCCUUCAUCACUGAAGUAUUGUUCUGCAUGGGCACCUUGGGUGACCAUCUUUCACUUUCCUGAAGAGAGGCUCGUAAUACAGGCCCUGAGGAGGCUUGCAAACCAGGAAAGAUACGAUCUGUUAAUCACUGUUGCCUAGUUCCAUUCUUGUGCCAUGUUAGAUCCAAACAGUGAGUUGUCAGAAGGGUAAGAAUCAAUUUUAAGCACUAAAAUACAUCAAACUCUGUAGUCCCCUAAAUUGUUCCAAUACAGAUGAACUUUUUUUUUUUUUUUCUUUUAAAGCAGCUGUCAAGUGCUCCUCAAGGAAGAUAAAUCUAGCUUUCUGUGUGUUCUGAUCAGUACAUCUGCAAGACUAGUAUCUGCUGUUACAUUUUUGUACUUGAAUGGUAUUUUUCAGUCAGGUCACAGGAUUAUUUUUAAAUAGAAAAUGAUACUUCAAAUUACAUGACAACCAAAGGAAAUAUAUGUAAAAAUUGACACUUUUUCAUAUUUUGUUUAUAUUUUGAAAAGUGAGAAGGGGGAAGAAAUCUUAUGUUCGUAUUACAAACUUCUUACCUACAUGUUAUGGCAGGCAUGCUCUCCCCCAGGUUUUCACAUAGCUUUUAAUAUUUUUUUUGUUAAGAAAAUCUUUACCAAGUAUGACCAUUUAGGAGCCGUCUGGAAAAAAUUGCAACUGCAGUAAAAAGAAAUCUGAAAAUAGAUGUUUUCUGAGUAAAACUACUCAGGGUACAGGAAAGAGGGAAAGACACAAAGUCACAGUUGUGCUCUGCCAUUUGAGACCACAUCCAGCUCGGACUGUUUGCAACGUGCAUGGCUGAACACAGAAACAAGAGGAAUUGCACAUCAACCUUACUGAGCAAACGUCAGGCUCCAAGUUAAAGUUAGUUUCUAGGCUCCCUCUACAGUCAAUGGAGAAAAAUAGUUACCUCUGGAGGGCAGGUUCCUCUGCUUUUCUUGGUCAUGUACUUCACAGGUUUCCAGAUGACAGGAUAUGAAUUUGUGAACAAUGAAGUGAAUGGUCCGUGUAUUUGAGUACUUAAUAAAUGUAGGAGCAUGAAAAUGACC